rnacentral:tRNA from 1 species
UCCCUGGUGGUCCAGUGGGUAGGACUCUGUGUUUUCACUGCCAAGAACACAGGUUUGAUCCCUGGUCAGGGAA